rnacentral:rRNA from 1 species
GAAACUGGGGAUAAUACUAGAUAGGCAAUUUUUCCUGGAAUGGUUUUUUGUUUAAAUGUUUUUUCGCCUAAGGAUGGGUCUGCGGCCGAUUAGGUAGUUGGUUAGGUAACGGCUUACCAAGCCAUUGAUCGGUACGGGUUGUGAGAGCAAGAGCCCGGAGAUGGAACCUGAGACAAGGUUCCAGGCCCUACGGGGUGCAGCAGGCGCGAAACCUCCGCAAUGUGAGAAAUCGCGACGGGGGGAUCCCAAGUGCCAUUCUUAACGGGAUGGCUUUUCAUUAGUGUAAAGAGCUUUUGGAAUAAGGGCUGGGCAAGACCGGUGCCGGCCGCCGCGGUAACACCGGCAGCUCUAGUGGUAGCAGUUUUUAUUGGGCCUAAAGCGUCCGUAGCCGGUUUAAUAAGUCUCUGGUGAAAUCCUGUAGCUUAACUGUGGGAAUUGCUGGAGAUACUAUUAGACUUGAGACCGGGAGAGGUUAGAGGUACUCCCAGGGUAGAGGUGAAAUUCUGUAAUCCUGGGAGGACCGCCUGUUGCGAAGGCGUCUAACUGGAACGGUUCUGACGGUGAGGGACGAAAGUUAGGGGCGCGAACCGGAUUAGAUACCCGGGUAGUCCUAACCGUAAACGACGCGGACUUGGUGUUGGGGUGGCUUUGAGCUGCUCCAGUGCCGAAGGGAAGCUGUUAAGUCCGCCGCCUGGGAAGUACGGUCGCAAGACUGAAACUUAA